GGAUCGCUAGCUCAACCAGACAGAGCAGCCGGUUUCUACCCGGCAGGUUCCCGGCGCAAAUCCGGGGCGAUCCUCCA
rnacentral:tRNA from 1 species